rnacentral:rRNA from 1 species
GAGGAAGUAAAAGUCGUAACAAGGUUUCCGUAGGUGAACCUGCGGAAGGAUCAUUAUUGAGUUUUGAAACGGGUUGUCGCUGGCCUUUUACGAGGCAUGUGCACGCCUGGCUCAUUCCACUCUUUAACCUUUGUGCACUUUUAGUAGGAAAAACGCUGGUUUACUAAUUUAUAUUGGUAGAAAGCUUUCCUAUGUUUUAACAUAUACACGCUUCAGUGACAGAAUGUUAUUUAUGUGCAGACAUGCAUUUAAAAAUAUAUACAACUUUCAGCAACGGAUCUCUUGGCUCUCGCAUCGAUGAAGAACGCAGCGAAAUGCGAUAAGUAAUGUGAAUUGCAGAAUUCAGUGAAUCAUCGAAUUUUUGAACGCACCUUGCGCUCCUUGGUAUUCCGAGGAGCAUGCCUGUUUGAGUAUCAUGGACUUCUCAACUCCCAUAUUUUAUUUUUCAAAGAAAGAUGUGGUGAGCUUGGAAUUGGAGGCUUGUGUCGGCUUUGGUUGACUCCUCUGAAAUAAAUUAGCGUGAAUCAAGCUGAUUACCCUCAGUGUGAUAAUUAACUGUCUGCACUGUGUGUGACGCUACUUUAAUGUAUUCAUGCUUACAGCAGUCUUUUCAUAGAGACAAUACAUGUUAUCUCUGAUCUCAAAUCAGGUAGGACUACCCGCU